rnacentral:rRNA from 1 species
AGAGUUUGAUCCUGGCUCAGGAUGAACGCUGGCGGCGUGCCUAAUACAUGCAAGUCGAGCGAACGUCAUAGAAGCUUGCUUCUAUGACGUUAGCGGCGGACGGGUGAGUAAGACGUGGGCAACCUGCCUGUAAGACUGGGAUAACUUCGGGAAACCGAAGCUAAUACCGGAUAGGAUCUUCUCCUUCAUGGGAGAUGAUUGAAAGAUGGUUUCGACUAUCACUUACAGAUGGGCCCGCGGUGCAUUAGCUAGUUGGUGAGGUAACGGCUCACCAAGGCAACGAUGCAUAGCCGACCUGAGAGGGUGAUCGGCCACACUGGGACUGAGACACGGCCCAGACUCCUACGGGAGGCAGCAGUAGGGAAUCUUCCGCAAUGGACGAAAGUCUGACGGAGCAACGCCGCGUGAGUGAUGAAGGCUUUCGGGUCGUAAAACUCUGUUGUUAGGGAAGAACAAGUACGAGAGUAACUGCUCGUACCUUGACGGUACCUAACCAGAAAGCCACGGCUAACUACGUGCCAGCAGCCGCGGUAAUACGUAGGUGGCAAGCGUUAUCCGAAAUUAUUGGGCGUAAAGCGCGCGCAGGCGGUUUCUUAAGUCUGAUGUGAAAGCCCACGGGCUCAACCCGUGGAGGGUCAUUG